rnacentral:rRNA from 1 species
CCUAAGGUAGCGAAAUUCCUUGUCGGGUAAGUUCCGACCUGCACGAAUGGCGUAACGACUUCCCCACUGUCUCGACCAGGAGCUCGGCGAAAUUGCAGUACGAGUAAAGAUGCUCGUUAAGCGCAGAAGGACGAAAAGACCCCGGGACCUUUACUAUACCUUGGUAUUGGCAUUCGGUGUGGAUUGUGUAGCAUAGGCGGAAGGCUUCGAAGCCACGGCGCCAGCCGCGGUGGAGCCGCAAGGUGAAAUACCGCUCUGUUCGCAUUGGAUGUCUAACCUCGACCAGUCAUCCUGGUCAGGGACAGUGCCUGGCGGGUAGUUUAACUGGGGCGGUUGCCUCCCAAAGAGUAACGGAGGCGCUCAAAGGUUCCCUCAGCCCGGUUGGCAAUCGGGUGGCGAGUGUAAGUGCACAAGGGAGCUUGACUGCGAGACUGACGGGUCGAGCAGGGACGAAAGUCGGAACUAGUGAUCCGGUGCCGGUGUACGGACGCGGCAUCGCUCAACGGAUAAAAGGUACCCCGGGGAUAACAGGCUGAUCAUUCCCAAGAGUCCAUAUCGACGGGAUGGUUUGGCACCUCGAUGUCGGCUCGUCGCAUCCUGGGGCUGGAGCAGGUCCCAAGGGUUCGGCUGUUCGCCGAUUAAAGCGGCACGCGAGCUGGGUUCAGAACGUCGUGAGACAGUUUGGUCUCUAUCCUCUGCGCUCGUCGGAAUGUUGAGGAGGCCUGCCCAUAGUACGAGAGGACCUGGGUGGACGAACCUCUGGUAUGCCGGUUGUCACGCCAGUGGCACGGCCGGUUGGCUACGUUCGGAAGGGAUAACCGCUGAAAGCAUCUAAGCGGGAAGCCUGCUCCAAGAUAAGCAUUCCAUAGGACUACGGGUCCUUGAAGUCCCCAUGCAGAACACGUGGUUGAUAGGCCGGACGUGGAAGCCCCGCGAGGGGUGGAGC